AUUGAACGCUGGCGGCAUGCUUUACACAUGCAAGUCGAACGGCAGCGCGGGCUUCGGCCUGGCGGCGAGUGGCGAACGGGUGAGUAAUGCAUCGGAACGUGCCCAGUAGUGGGGGAUAGCCCGGCGAAAGCCGGAUUAAUACCGCAUACGACCUGAGGGUGAAAGCGGGGGACCGAAAGGCCUCGCGCUAUUGGAGCGGCCGAUGUCGGAUUAGCUAGUUGGUGGGGUAAAGGCUUACCAAGGCGACGAUCCGUAGCUGGUCUGAGAGGACGACCAGCCACACUGGGACUGAGACACGGCCCAGACUCCUACGGGAGGCAGCAGUGGGGAAUUUUGGACAAUGGGGGCAACCCUGAUCCAGCCAUGCCGCGUGCGGGAAGAGGGCCUUCGGGUUGUAAACCGCUUUUGUUCGGGAAGAAAUCCUCUGGGCUAAUACCCCGGGGGGAUGACGGUACCGGAAGAAUAAGCACCGGCUAACUACGU
rnacentral:rRNA from 1 species